GGCAUUUUUAAAGAAUCAUUAUUUGUGCAGAGAAAAACAAAAGGCAAAUCCAACACAACCCAGAGACGUUUGUAUUACAUUGGAAAUGACGUUAAAAGGGCCUUGCUAUGUAGUUCAGACUGACCUUGAACUCACUAUGUAGAACAGGCUGGCUUUGAAUUCCUCCUGCCUCAACCUCCUGAGUGCUGGGAUUAUAGACAUGCACCACCAUGCCCAGCUCCACUGUAAUUGGAUCUUGAAGAAUGAAGAACGUACCAGGAAGAAAACAAGAAGCAAGAAAGAAGCUUUGUGUUCUAGGAC
rnacentral:lncRNA from 1 species